AACGAACGCUGGCGGCAGGCCUAACACAUGCAAGUCGAACGCACCGCAAGGUGAGUGGCGCACGGGUGAGUAACACGUGGGAAUGUACCCUUUGGUUCGGAAUAACGUUUGGAAACGAACGCUAAUACCGGAUGAGCCCUGUGGGGGAAAGAUUUAUCGCCAAAGGAGCAGCCCGCGUCUGAUUAGCUAGUUGGUGGGGUAAAGGCCUACCAAGGCGACGAUCAGUAGUUGGUCUGAGAGGAUGAUCAGCCACACUGGGACUGAGACACGGCCCAGACUCCUACGGGAGGCAGCAGUGGGGAAUAUUGGACAAUGGGCGGAAGCCUGAUCCAGCCAUGCCGCGUGAGUGAUGAAGGCCUUCGGGUUGUAAAGCUCUUUCGCACGCGACGAUGAUGACGGUAGCGUGAGAAGAAGCCCCGGCUAACUUCGUGCCAGCAGCCGCGGU
rnacentral:rRNA from 1 species